CGUAAGGGUGAGUAAUGGAUAGGUAACGUACCCUGUGCUCCGGAAUAGCGUCAGUUUGCCUUCGGGCAAACAUCCGAAAGGGGCGGUAAUACCGGAUAAUAUCAUGUGUCGAUGGGCACAUGAUCAAAGAUUUAUCGGCAUAGGAGCGGCCUUUUUCUUAUCAGCUUGUUGGUGAGGUAAUGGCUCACCAAGGCUAUGACGGGUAGCGGGACUGAGAGGUUGGUCCGCCACAUCGGGACUGAGACACUGCCCGGACCUCCACGGAGGGCUGCAGUAACGAAUCUUGCGCAAUGGGCGAAAGCCUGACGCAGCGACGCCGCGUGUAGGAGGAAGUCCCUCGGGAUGUAAACUACUGUCAGGGGGAAGAAAGUCCGCUUCGGCGGAUUGAUCUAACCCAGAGGAAGUCACGGCUAACUUCGUGCCAGCAGCCGCGGUAAGACGAAGGUGACAAGCGUUGUUCGGUAUUACUGGGCUUAAAGCGUGUGUAGGCGGAAAUGUAAGCGUCAGGUGAAAUCCCCCGGCUUAACCGGGGAACUGCUUGACGAACUGCUUUUCUUGAGGCAAGUAGGGGUGCACGGAACUCUUGGUGGAGCGGUGAAAUGCGUAGAUAUCAAGAGGAACGCCGGUGGAGAAAUCGGUGCACUGGGCUUGUCCUGACGCUGAGACACGAAAGCGUGGGGAGCGAACGGGAUUAGAUACCCCGGUAGUCCACGCCGUAAACGAUGUCUACUA
rnacentral:rRNA from 1 species